CAGAGGUCCCAAGCGUUGUUCGGAUUCACUGGGCGUAAAGGGUGCGUAGGUGGUGGGGUAAGUCGGAUGUGAAAUCUCCGAGCUCAACUCGGAAAUGGCAUUGGAAACUACCCUGCUAGAGGGUCGGAGGGGGACUGGAAUGCUUGGUGUAGCAGUGAAAUGCGUAGAUAUCAAGCGGAACACCAGUGGCGAAGGCGAGUCCCUGGACGACUCCUGACACUGAGGCACGAAAGCUAGGGGAGCAAACAGGAUUAGAUACCCUGGUAGUCCUAGCCGUAAACGGUGCACGUUUGCUGUAAAAGGAAUCGACCCUUUUGUGGCGUAGCCAACGCGUUAAACGUGCCGCCUGGGAAGUACGGUCGCAAGAUUA
rnacentral:rRNA from 1 species